rnacentral:lncRNA from 1 species
CCUAUUUUCUUUUGUGAUUUUCUUCGCACCGAUUGACGAAAUAAGCUGAUGUCUUCCAAGUGGCGACAGUAAGUCCAUAGAAGCCUUCAAGAUGGCCACCAUCCUGUAAGCAGAAAGUUUAUGGGUGGAUUCCUAAUUAAAAAGGUGAAACUGCACAAAUGGAUUGCUAUGUAUUUCUUAAUUUGUUGAUUUCGAAUCUCCAAAGAAAUUUUGCUUGCAAAAUCAAAAUUACAUUGGAGAGUUUCUUAGAAAAAUUAUCAGUAUUAAUUUGUUAAAAUUCGAAAUGAGAAGAGUAAUUAGUUGUGUGGCAUCCCGCCAGAUGCCAAUAUAAAGAAGUGGGCGUAUGUGGAUGCAAGUGGGAGAAAAUGAGAGACAUGGUUUAUUACCAUAUUGAGAUACUUGGAAUGACCGAAGGAAGAGAUUCAUGGUUGGCUGCCACCCUCCUCCUCCUGCUGAUCCCCACUGCAGGUGGCUUCACCGUCGUCU